rnacentral:lncRNA from 1 species
GUGAUGCUUGUGUUUUGUCAGAAUAAAGAGUACAAAGAUGAGUGUUUCCCCUAUCACACAGUGGGAAUGGUAACUCCAAUAAAAACGGGCAUCUAGAGCAUGCAAAAGAUUAACAAAAGGGCACAUAAAUUAUGCUAAGAAUCAAAGAAAGGGAAAUGCAUGGUUAUAUUGCAUUGGUAAAGUAUGGACUGAUAGUUGUUGAUGGAAUCAGAGCUCAAGACAGUAAUCAAUAAAAGUGUAAUGUUUUAAAACAUUUUGAGUUUUUAAAUUUCCCGCCUGUAUUUCUAUUUAAAAGGUCUCUGUAAAUAUGCCAUUCAUGGC